GCAAACCUGAGAUUGUAGUUUCUGCCCUUCAGAAGAAUGCUGCUGCGUUAAAUCUUCAAUAGUCCUUUUUGCAGCCUGAAGUUGUUCAACUGAUCCGUCCUUCUCAGCAACGGCAAUGGAAUAUUUUGCUUCAAGGUCACUUAGUUUGGACUCGUAUGUAGACACAUCUUCUUUAAGCUUUAUAUUUGCCUCAGCUAGUUUUCUGCUCUCUUCUUCAAUGUGAGCUGACUUGGUUUGCAGUUCCUUGAGAGAAUUCUGCAAUAAAGGUUUCUCGGCAGCCUCAGCCUUGAGAUUUUCAACCUCAGAUUUUAAAGCAACUUCUCCUGCUUUUUGUUCCUUGAGCUGUUCUUCAAGGUUGGAUAUCACUUGCUGGAGUUCAUUCUUAGUAUUUUGAUGCACUUCAUCAAGCAGGCGGUUCUCAUCCAUAAGCGAAGAUAUCUGUAGCAAACAGAUGUAGCUAAUAACCAUAAGGCAACAAUAUUUAGCCGCAAAAUAAUUAAAAAAAUAGUUUGGUGCAAACCUGAGAUUGUAGUUUCUGCCCUUCAGAAGAAUGCUGCUGCGUUAAAUCUUCAAUAGUCCUUUUUGCAGCCUGAAGUUGUUCAACUGAUCCGUCCUUCUCAGCAACGGCAGUGGAAUAUUUUGCUUCAAGGUCACUUAGUUUGGACUCGUAUGUAGACGCAUCUUCUUUAAGCUUUAUAUUUGCCUCAGCUAGUUUUCUGCUCUCUUCUUCAAAGUGAGCUGACUUGGUUUGCAGUUCCUUGAGAGAAUUCUGCAACAAAGGUUUCUCAGCAACCUCAGACUUGAGAUUUUCAACCUCAGAUUUUAAAGCAACUUCUCCUGCUUUUUGUUCCUUGAGCUGUUCUUCAAGGUUGGAUAUCACUUGCUGGAGUUCCUUCUUAGUAUUUUGAUGCACUUCAUCAAGCAGGCGGUUCUCACCCAUAAGCGAAAAUAUCUGUAGCAAACAGAUGUAGCUAAUAACCAUAAGGCAACAAUAUUUAGCCGCAAAAUAAUUAAAAAAAAGUUUGGUGCAAACCUGAGAUUGUAGUUUCUGCCAUUUAGAAGAAUGCUGCUGCGUUAAAUCUUCAAUAGUCCUUUUUGCAGCCUGAAGUUGUUCAACUGAUCUGUCCUUCUCAGCAACGGCAGUGGAAUAUUUUGCUUCAAGGUCACUUAGUUUGGACUCGUAUGUAGACACAUCUUCUUUAAGCUUUAUAUUUGCCUCAGCUAGUUUUCUGCUCUCUUCUUCAAAGUGAGCUGACUUGGUUUGCAGUUCCUUGAGAGAAUUCUGCAAUAAAGGUUUCUCAGCAGCCUCAGACUUGAGAUUUUCAACCUCAGAUUUUAAAGCAACUUCUCCUGCUUUUUGUUCCUUGAGCUGUUCUUCAAGGUUGGAUAUCACUUGUUGGAGUUCCUUCUUAGUAUUUUGAUGCACUUCAUCAAGCAGGCGGAUCUCAUCCAUAAGCGAAGAUAUCUGUAGCAAACAGAUGUAGCUAAUAACCAUAAGGCAACAAUAUUUAGCCGCAAAAUAAUUAAAAAAAAGUUUGGUGCAAACCUGAGAUUGUAGUUUCUGCCCUUCAGAAGAAUGCUGCUGCGUUAAAUCUUCAAUAGUCCAUUUUGCAGCCUGAAGUUGUUCAACUGAUCUGUCCUUCUCAGCAACGGCAGUGGAAUAUUUUGCUUCAAGGUCACUUAGUUUGGACUUGUAUGUAUACACAUCUUCUUUAAGCUUUAUAUUUGCCUCAGCUAGUUUUCUUCUCUCUGCUUCACAGUUAGCUGAUUUGGUUUGCAGUUCCUUGAGAGAUUUCUGCAAUAAAGGUUUCUCAGCAGCCUCAGCCUUGAGCUUUUCAACCUCAGAUUUUAAAGCAUCUUCUCGUGCUCUUUGUUCCUCGAGCUUUUUUGCAAGUUUGGAUAUCUCUUGCAGUAAGUCGGCUCCAAUAGGCCAGCAGAAAGGCAUCUGUGGCAAAUAGAUGUAGCUAAUAACCAUAAGGCAACAAUAUUUAGCCGCAAUAUGAUUACAAAAAAGUUUGGUGCUUUCCAGAAAAUCCAUUAGCUUCCAAAUCUCUCUGGCUGAAUGUUUCAAUGGCUUCUUGCAACUUCGUCUCAGCUUCCACAAUGCGGGCUUCGGAAGCAGAAUGAAGUUCUAAGGCUCUCGAGUGCUUAUCUGUUAAUUCUUCAACAGUGCUCUUGUGCAAAGGCUCUGAACUGCAUCCUAACAGCAUGUGUAAAAACAAGCAAAAGGAGGCACCAACUCAUCAGUGGGUAAAGUAUUUUGGCAGCGUCCCGACUCCAAACCAAAACAAAAAUAAAAAGAUGCAGGACAAUUGGAAGAUAAUACCUGUUGACUUGGAAGGCGACCGUUCAUCCAAUUCAUGGACAACCAGCUUUGCCCUUGGAUCAACAACUUCAAACAAAUCUGAGGCCAAAGGAAAAAGUUACAAACUUUACACAUCAAGGGCACAAGAAACGUUGCAGUAAUACAAGGAACCCUGACGUGGAGCUUCUACAGGGAUGAUCUAUAUAGCAAACGAUCGUAGAUGGUAUAAGAUGGGUGGUGCAGGUGCUACAAUAAGGAUUUUGACUAUUAACUGCUUAAUCAGUCGUAUCCUAUGGACCAGACCGAACUGACAAUACCUGUUUGACACCCCAGAAAAACACGACUGAUCAAGGGCACAUGCUAAUAUGAAUAACUAGCCAGAUUUCUCCGGCUCACUUUCAUAUCAUAUUCGCAGAAUUCAUGAAAUGCGGAUUCUCCACUAUAUACAAUAUAUUCGAAACUACUAUUUAAUCGCCCUUUUUCUGUUUCUAAUGACUCCAAAUUGAAAUUUCUAUUUCAAAAUGAAGUUCUAAACACAAUUCAAUAAAGAAACGCCCAAUGGCAGUGACAUCAGAAUCACCAAACAUGCAAAUCCAAACUUAACCCGGUUUUCGCAACCAUAUUAUCCAUAAAACACCUCAAAUAAUUACAAUUAGUGAUUAAGCAUUAGAUCAAACCUAAAAAACAAUUCAAAUCCAAAUGCAAACCAAAUUAACCAAUGGAGCAGCUUCCACGGAAGAAAUGGGAGAGAUUAAAAGCUCGAAUUCGAGAGAUUGCCAAACCAAAACGCAAUGCAUCAAAUUGCCAAACCAAAAAGCAAUGCAUCAAAACCAUCACCGGAUUAGAUUCUUACUUAGCUGUUAAGCUUGGGAUGUUUAGUGAUUAGUUAUAUAUAUUCUUAACUAUCUUGUACGAAUUGCAGAAAUAUAAACCUUGACAGAAAGGAAGAACAUGAAAAGCAAUCUUGUGUGAGAAGAUAGAGCUUAGAAUCUUUUAGGGAGAGUUUUUAGAGAGAAAGGUUUGUCAGCAGCCUCAACCUUGAGAUUUCAACCUCAGAUUUUAAAGCAGCUUCUCUUGCUUUUUGUUCCUUGAGCCGGCAGGACAGAAUGCAAAGACAAGCAUCUUUAUGAGUUCACCACACCACCGUCACUUUCUUCAAGUACCUACAGGAAGGAAGGCAUCUUAGCAAACUCGCAUGUCUAGAGAUACUGCUCAUGCCGAUUAUAUUCUUUCCCUGGCAUUACUGCAGAGUGAGGGAAAGUAGGAGGAAAAAUAUGUGAUCGCGGCCAGCCUCCGGUGAUCUGAAUUGGUUCGGCAAGUUCCUGCAACAAACAAUUACAAGUAGGUAGUUUACAUGGUAGAAAAAUGGGGCUUUGUAGUUGACAAUUAGAAAUAGUUGCCGAACGAGUUUUCAGUUUUCAAAAAAGAAGGAUAAAAACUGAAAAUGAAAUGCUUAUCAAACGGCCCUAAACUAAUUUCAUUUAGGGAUCCGACCAUAUGACUCACAAACAACUGAGACCGUCCUCUUUUCAUAUCAACAAACGCAUAAAUUCUUAUAUUUUCGAAAGCAUCUGCAACCCAAUAUACAAACUAAAUACAAACUCCAAUAACACAUAUUCAUCUGUGUUUUGCUUUGCAAACAGCCAAGGGGAUAGCAACUAAAAUAAAUUCCCAGACCAACAACCUCUCAAAAACCAAGCUUGAAAGCACAAAAACAAAGCCUUCAAUCUUUCUGUGGAUAAUGUCCACCAAGCGAAACAAUUAACGAAGUAAUCAACCAAAACCUGACGGACAAACCCAAAAACACAAAAACUUGAUCUAGUAUCGUUUCCCAAGAAUGAGGCUGAUGAUCACAGACACCACAGCCACUCCCACGACUCCCACGAUGAACUUAACGCUUGUCAUUGGGGAAGCCUCAGCUGUAUGUGUAUGGAUAUCUGAAGAUGAUGAGGUUUGAGCAGGUGUUGCUUCUGACUUCUUCUUGCUCUUCCUUUUCGAUGGAGUUGAAAUGAUUGAUCCAAUGUCCCUGGAUUUCACUUCCAGUCCGGCUACACUGCCUCCGUCACCCUACAACACGAUCAUUUAAACAUAAGUAAAUUUAAUUUCCCACUCGAAUUCUUGUAAGUUAAAAGCCUUGUGCAAGCUGAAACCCUUUUCGUAUGGUUUAAUGUUUUCAUUUCCCCCGAGUUGUUUUCGACAAUUAUGUCCAAAAACUUGACAUCUACUGAGAGCUUAAGAUUAUGUAACUAGCGUAUGCUGUUUUCGAAAUUUCUACUGUGGUGGUAACUAUAAAGUGAGUUGGAAACAGAAAUAAACAUACCCUUUCUGUUACUUUGGUAUCUGCCAGCUGCACUUUCUGCUCAAGCUCUUUGACUUGCUUAUCUAGAAGAGCGAUUUCUUUAUUCUUAGCUUCAAGUUCUUCAAGAGAAUGCUUCAAAGAUGCUUCUCGUUCCAGGUCCUUUUGAGAAUCUGCUUCUUUCUGUUGAAUAGGGAAUUCAAACAUGAACGUUUUCGCCGGCAUUAAAUUCCUUUUGUAGAGAAUUGUCAGCGUACAGUUUAAGUAAAAGAAAUCUUGAAAACUGAUCGGUUCCUAACCUUUUCGGAAACGGUGGCAUGAGCAAGUUGUAACUCGCUCUGGAGUUUUGUGACUUGUUCAUUUAAUAAAUCUCUGUCAUGGACCUUAUGCGCAUGAUCGUCCAAUUUUGAAGUCAACUCUGCCUCUCUUUCCGCUGCAGCCGCCUUAAUGCUUUCAACCUACAAUUCGUCUGAGUCAGAAAGAAUAUUCAAAAGAUGAAUGUGCCCCGUUCUUUGGCCGCCCAAGAGCUUAUUUUUUUUUUUCAUGGAAAUUGAUAUUCUACCUCUUUUUGCAGUUGAGCUUCAGUUUUCACCAAUUUCUCUUCAAGUUCCUUGAGAGAAUUCUGCAACAAAGGUUUCUCAGCAACCUCAGCCUUGAGAUUUUCAACCUCAGAUUUUAAAGCAGCUUCUCCUGCUUUUUGUUCCUUGAGCUGUUCUUCAAGGUUGGAUAUCACUUGCUGGAGUUCCUUCUUAGUAUUUUGAUGCACUUCAUUAAGCAGGCUGUUUUCAUCCAUAACUGAAGAUAUCUGUGGCAAACGAAUGUAGCUUAUAAGCAUAAAGCAACAAUAUUUAGCCGCAAAAUAAUUAUAAAAAGUUUUGGUGCAAACCUGAGAUUGUAGUUUCUGCCCUUCAGAAGAAUGCUGCUGCGUUAAAUCUUCAAUGGUCCUUUUUGCAGCCUGAAGUUGUUCAACUGUUUCAUCCUUCUCAACAACGGCAGUGGAGUAUUUUGCUUCAAGGUCACUUAGUUUGGACUCGUAUGUAGACACAUCCUCUGUAAGCUUUAUAUUUGCCUCAGCUAGUUUCCUGCUCUCUUCUUCAAAGUGAGCUGACUUGGUUUGCAGCUCCUCAACAAAACUCUCCAGAUUGUUCAGCUUCGAUAGACUCUC
rnacentral:lncRNA from 1 species